GACUAGUGACACAAUAGUCCUUUCCCAAAAGGAGCACCUGCCAGUCACUCAGAUUGUGAUGACAGACGCAGGCCGACCACAUUCCGAAGCAGCUUAUACACUGGGGCCACUGCUCUGCCGCGGAGAUCCAAGACUUCUGAAAGUAUGGAGAAGAGAAAGUGUGAUAUUUGAAAUAUUCCCUUCUCUUUUUGGGAGACUGAGAUGGGAGGAUGGCUUGAGCCUAGGAGUUCAACACAAGCCCGGACAAGAUGAGUCAUUCUGGAAUUCAGCUUCCUUCAACACUGAGACUUCAUACCUUCAUUUCCCUGCUUUCCACGGAGAACUCACUGCUGACGUGUGCUUCUUUUUUAAGACCACAGUUUCCUCCGGGGUGUUUAUGGAGAACCUGGGGAUCACAGAUUUCAUCAGGAUUGAGCUGCGUGGUAAGCUCGCCACUCUGGACAAGUCACAGGGUACCCAUUAUUUAGCAAUAAAA
rnacentral:lncRNA from 1 species